GCAGCUGCCCAGGAAACCACCAGAGGCUGCGGGCUAUUAAUAGCCCGUGCACGCGGGGCCAAGCGCAGCGUUGCUGACAUUUAGAAAAGAUCUCCUGUGUGAAGUUGCUUGGAGGCUCCGGCUUUGCAAAUGCAAUUAAAUAUAGAUUUCUCUGGGGUGAGGCAGGGAAGGGUGUGGGUGUGUUGUAAAUCGUGCAGCGAAGCCGUUUAACUCUGGGGAGUUCGGCAAGCGCUUUCCAGCCCCUACUGUGUGUCCCGGGUAAGGUCCACCCGGAGCAAGCUCACCUGACCUUGAAGGAGUCCAUUGUUCAUUGCCGAUGCCCAUGUUGCUACUGCCUGCAGGGGCCAGGUGGGCAGGUGUGAGGCACCAGGGAGUGGUGGAGACUGUGGGAGGGAGUGACGUGUGCACGGUCCAGGCACUGGGGGCAACGCAGGCUCCACUGACGGUCACGAUGCCCUGAGUGUGGGCCAAGAACCUCAUGUCUGUGUGCCUGCUGGGGCCUGGGAAGAUCUUAUAACAAGAUACCUGAGAGCUAAACUAGGAGAAAUCCUGAGGACCUGCGGGAGCCCUCGGGCAGGGACAUCGUGGCCCCUCGACUGUGCCUGGUCCCAUCUGGUGUCUUGCUGGCAGCUGGAGCUGGUCUGACCCCUGCGGCCGGCUUCACCAGGAGUUCACUUUUGCCUGCAGUGACCAAAAUCUUCUGACGUCGUCAGAGGUAAAGAUCACUUAUUAAUGACGACUCUCCGUGUGAUUUCAUGUUAAAGAGAAUCCGCAAACUCCCUUGUCGUUUAGUAUCUGGCCAUGAGAACAUAGGCCAAGUGUCUUCCUGUGGCCUGGCUGGGCCUCUGGCUGGCUCAGCCUCUGGGGAUAAAGAAGCGCUCCUUUCUGAGCUCCAGACUCUCAGUCCAACCUGCGAUUGGCUGGGCUAGAUUUGGGGAUGACAAGUCAUUUCAUCGGAGUGGCCGGAGCACAAUGUUAAGGAGGACUCAGAAGUUCGGUGGGAGGAAGUUCUGCGAUCUAUUCGUGAUGUCUGAAGGGCGGCCUAUGGGAGAGAGGUGGAGGGCACGCUUCUUGCUGACUGGGUAGAAUCCUGAAGACCUUCCAGCUCUAUCAUUCUAGAGUUUUCCUUCUUUCUAUGGUUUAUGUCUAGAGUAAAAAAUGUUCUUAUUUGUGCAUUUUACACAGACGUUCACAUUGACAUAAUCGCGCAGUCAUGGAGAAUGAUCUUGUUCAGUCCCCGAGCUUCCUCCUUCCUCCCCUCUUCCCUCCUCUCUUCCUUCCCUGCCCCUCCCCCGCCCCUCCCCUCUUCCCUCCCUUCUUCCCUCCUCUCUUCCCUCCCCCGCCCCUCCCCCUCUAGUCGAUGUCUUCCUUCUGUUCAUUUAAUGUUUCUUGAUUGAUGCUGUAUAGACACACGCCUACAUGUGCACAGACCACAGUGUGCACACACAGUGCUAAUGAGCCCAGGAUCAUUCUCUUGGAAGGACACUGAUCCCGUUGGAUCAGAGUUGCACCUCGUGACCUCAUCGAACCUGAACUGCCCCCUUCAAGGCCCCGUCCCCCACUGCAGUCAUGCCUGGCCUGGGGCUUUGACAUAGGAACUAGGUGGUGGGGGACCCAAUUCCGUCCCCAGAGCCAGGCUGCUGGGGACUUGGUAGGCAGGUGAGAUGAGGAUAGUGACUCAGUGGGACAGAGGAGGCUAUCUGGGGGGCUCUGAGCAGUGGAGAGACUUGGGUGCUAAAACGAUCCUGGCUGCUGUGUAGACAGUGUCAGUGGGUGGAGGCCAGGGCUGGAUGGACAGGCUGGCUGUAGAAAAGGGGGAGGUGUGGCAGGUCACCAUGGGGAGGUGAGGGUCGGAUCCAGAUGUGUCGUGAAGAUGGCAUGAAUGGGGUCAGGGUCAGGGGUGGGUGAAGGAGGCAGAGAGGACCCCGAGGCCUGGCCUUCAGCAGCUGGUGAGGUGGAGCCAUUCCCUGGGAGGGAGAAGGGAAAGGUGCGCUGGGUGCCAGUUAGUGGUGGUCUCCUGCCCCGCACGCAGGGUGUGCACAGGGCCCUGGGCUUGAUCCCCAGCAACACAUGCACACCUGCACGUGCACACACACGUUAUGGGCUCAGUUGUGUCCCCUCCUCCCCAAAUUCAUGCAUGCAAGUCCCAGCCCCAGAGCCUCAGAAUACUACUGCCCAGUCAAGGCUGGGGUCCCACAAGAGGAGGAGUCAGGACACAGACACCAUAGGGAGAAGGUGGCCGUCCGCAAACCAGGAGAGGCACCAACACCUUGCGUUCCGUCCUCUUGCCUCCAGCCCCUGAGCAGACCUCUGCUGCUAGCCCGCAGCCUGUGGUCAUCCCAUGGUGCCCGGAAGGAAGCCUGCGGGUCUUCCUAUGGCACCUGACAACCGAGGGCCGGGUUCCUGUGUCCUGGGGGGGCCUUGAACCUAUUUCUGACAUGAGCUGGCCCGUCCUGCGGGAGCAUCUGCUGCUCCGGCCCCACCAAGAGCUCUAUCACACUGUCUUGGGGUGUCCCCGCCUGCCCUCACUCGCUGUCGAGGCUGUGAGCUCCACCUUCAGGGAGGACUGCCUGGGUGGCUCCCAGUCCCCGUGCUCCCCUCCCUUCCUCCCCUGUUCCCUUCCCUCUGUUACUGCACCUCUCCAGCUGAGCACUGAGAUCUGGGAGCCUGGGGGCUUCUCGCCUGCCCGUCCAAGAGCCCUCUCCUCUGGUCCCAAGUUCAGCUGAGGAGCCCACAAGGACUUGUCAGAAGCACAAGGCCCCUGCGUUGGGCGGCUCCAGCACCCUAGCCCUGACCCAGUGACUUGAACAACACAGAGCUCUCCUCCCUUUUAUCACCUGUGUAUCAUCCUGUUGGACGACUGGCUCGGGCCUGUCUGGACCACAACCAGGGAUUCUGCAGGGCUGAUCCUUCUGGAAGCUGCAGGGAGGGCUGGUGUUCCUGCCUCUUCAGCAGCCAGAGGCACAGGCGCCUGCAUUUCUUCACUCGCGAAGCCUCCCGUCUUCAAAGCCCUGGAAUCUCUCGGGCCACACUCAGGAAAGCGCAUCCGUUUGUGUCUCUGUGCGAAUUAGACAGGACCCACUGGAUAAUACAGGGUGGCCCCAAGGCCUUGACUUUAACCCCAUGUGCUCAACCCGCUUUGCCACGUGAAAUCGUGUACCCACAAGUUCUGGGGUUAGGACGUGGACAUCUUUUGACCCCCCCGUAUCAGUCUUUCCCCUUUAUGCCUGGUGUGUAGAACAGACUGGAGAACUAGUAAGUGCUCAUUAAAUUUGCUGAGUAAAUGAA